UUGAAGUGCUCUAUACACAAAGAGCACGUCACCUCAUCCUCGAGGCGCCUGCUGGCGGAUGUUGCCAUUUCUUCAAGAAAAAACUAGAAAAGCAUAAGAAAAUGGUUAUUCCAUUGCUACUCAUAUCAGCCUUAAAAACACUAUCAAUAUCCCUGAGAAUUCUCUUAUUUCUGUGAUGAUAUAAAAAACUAUGAAUUAUCAGCGCUGGGGAAGUUGCAGGUGGUUGAAGAGUCCAAAGCUACGAAAGCCGAGAAGGGCCAUCAGAUUUCAGAGAUGAUAAUUUCAGAGAUGAUAAUUUCAAGAUGAUAAUUUCAGAGAUUAUAAUUUCGGAUAAAUAAUUCUGCCGGGUUAAUGAGCAUGCAGCACUACAAGCACUAUGCAACACAACAAUUCCCCCACAGCUACGUUCGGUCCUGAGGAGUUCUUCAAGUUUUUUCCCAUAUUCUGCCCUUACUAAGGUCGAAUAGAGAAAAGAUUUUCACAAAAUGUAAGUCACAACAUAGUCUAAACAUAUUAACUACAUGGUUUGAAACUAGCCAAGCUAAAAUAACAUGGUUUUUCUGCACCUUUUCAUGGUUCUUCUUAUCGCUGUUUAGAGCGUACUGUAAAGCUCAUCUAAGUGCUGUGUGGCUUAUUUGGAGAAUGACUAGUCAUCUUAUCCAUAGUAGAUUUCCGGUUGAAUUUAAUAUGUUGAAUUAUAAGACAAUUAUAAAUUCUCAAUUUAUACCAAGAAAAUAGAUUCUUUCCAUGCCCGUAACCAGAGUUUUUAAUAGGGUGGCGCUAAUUUGUAUGGAACUUUUAUACAAAACCUUACAACAAGGGUCAGGUGUUUGUAUUGUAGCACAUUUUAGUGGCGGAUCCAAGGGGUUCGGCUCUCCCCUACCUACUCCUCCCCCCCCCCCCCAAAUAAAAAUUGUUGUAGGUUAAUUAAAAAAUGGCAAAUGUGUUCUUAUUGUUUCUGUUGUUCUCUUUUGACAGGCUACUGGUCAUGUUGUUGUUGGUUAGCAUGGAUAAACCAACAUAUUGUGUCUUGCCCUCUUUUACGCCUGCUUCCGGUGAUGAUGAUAGCAGUACAGAAGAUUGCAAGUACUUUAGUCAAGAUUACACAAACAAGGAAAUAGCUAGUUUCCUAGUCUUGCGGCAUGGUUUGGUUAUUUCUGUCAGGACCGUGAAACGAACCCUUAAACUACUAAACCUCAGGCGUGCUCGUUCUGGGAACGAGUCUCCUAUGGAAGCUAUUGUUUACGCAGUCGUACAGAUGUUGGAAAAUAGCUGUGGUUCUUUUUUGGGGUACCGACAAUUGACCAAGUGGUUAUGGCGAAAAUUUCAACUAAUCGUUACGAGAGACACGAUAAUGAAAUGGAUCCGAAUAAUCGACCCAGAAGGUGUUGAGCGCCGUCGAAGGCGUCGGCUGAAAA